GAUGAACGCUGACCGAAUGCUUAACACAUGCAAGUCUUUGGCGAAUCUGUGCUUGCACCGGCUAGCCAAGGCGGACGGGUGAGUAACGCGUAAAGAACUUGCCCUGCAGACAGGGAUAACAGACGGAAACGACUGAUAACACCUGAUACAGUUGCCGGCACGCAUGUGCCUGGCAAUGAAAAGAGAUGCUGCAGGAGAGCUUUGCGUCCUAUUAGCUUGUUGGUGAGGUGACGGCUCACCAAGGCGAUGAUAGGUAGCCGGCCUGAGAGGGUGAACGGCCACAAGGGGACUGAGAUACGGCCCUUACUCCUACGGGAGGCAGCAGUGGGGAAUAUUGGACAAUGGGGGCAACCCUGAUCCAGCAAUUCUGUGUGCACGAAGAAGGUUUUCGGAUUGUAAAGUGCUUUCAGCAGGGAAGAAGAAAGUGACGGUACCUGCAGAAGAAGCGACGGCUAAAUACGUG
rnacentral:rRNA from 1 species